AUGGGGCGGACCACGGUUAACCCCAUUUGGAGUAAGAUAUGGAAGUUAGCUUGUCCGGCAAAAGUUAAAAAAAUUAUAUGGCGUACGCUUCAUGGAACACUACCAUGCCGGAUUACACUCGCUAACAAACAUAUGAAGGUCUCGCCCAUUUGCCCUACUUGCUCUGAGGGUUUAGAGGAUACAAAGCAUAUGCUCUUUCGGUGCAGUAAAGCAAAGGGAGUUUGGAAAAGUUUGGAGUUGGAUGACAUUAUUGAUAAAACUUGCGAAGUUGACCAUGUUGAAGAGGCAGUGUUGGAAUAUCUACUACUUCUUCCAGACAAGAAUUGUAUGGGCUACAAUAAUGUCCGUGAGAUGAUUGAUGUCUCAACAUGGUAUCUAUGGUGGGAAAGACGAAAAUCGAUGUACAAGGAGAAAACGCAAAAUGCAAUUCAGAUUUCAAUGGGGGUUUUAGCCCUUACCAAAAACUUUGUAAAUGCUUUAUCCCCCAAGGCCUCUAUAAAAGGGGGGUGGUUGUGUCCCCCCAGAGGUUUUGUGAAACUUAACAUCGAUGCUUCUUUUGACCACGACCUGCUUAGGGGCACGAUGGGGGCGGUCCUGAGAGACGACAGAGGCGGAUUCAUUGUGGGAGAAAAUGGGAAGAUUGACUAUUGUGCGGAUGUGUUGAUGGCGGAAGCCUUAGCUCUGAACUUUGGUCUAUCACUAGCGCAAAGGGCGGGAUGUAAUCGCCUUAUUAUUAACUCGGAUAACCUGGAGGUGAUUGAAACUAUGUAG
rnacentral:rRNA from 1 species